GUGUGUGUGUGUGUGUAUGGUUGUUUGUCCUGUCUGUCUCUGUGUUGCCCUGCAAUGGACAGGCGACCUGUCCAGAACCCCACCUCUCACCUGUUGACCUGUGGAGAUAGGCACCAGCAGCCUUCGUGAUCCCA